rnacentral:rRNA from 1 species
UACGAAGGGUGCAAGCGUUGCUCGGAAUUAUUGGGCGUAAAGGGUAGGUAGGUGGUAAUAAAAAGUCUGGGGUGAAAUCCCUGAGCUCAACUCAGGACGUGCCUUGGAAACUUUAUUACUAGAGUGCUGGAGAGGUUCGCAGAAUUCCCGGUGUAGCGGUGAAAUGCGUAGAGAUCGGGAGGAAUACCAGAGGCGAAGGCGGCGAACUGGACAGCAACUGACACUCAACUACGAAAGCGUGGGUAGCAAACAGG